rnacentral:rRNA from 1 species
GACAGAGGUGCCGAGCGUUAGGCGGAAUCACUGGGCUUAAAGCGUGUGUAGGCGGGCCGUUAAGUGCCUUGUGAAAUCCUCCGGCCCAACCGGAGAACAGCCUCGGAUACUGGACGUCUCGAGGGGGGUAGGGGCACGCGGAACUUCCGGUGGAGCGGUGAAAUGCGUAGAUAUCGGAAGGAACGCCGGUGGCGAAAGCGGCGUGCUGGACCCCUUCUGACGCUGAGGCGCGAAAGCCAGGGGAGCGAACGGG